rnacentral:rRNA from 1 species
GAGUGAGAGCGGAUCAUGGAACCUUGCUCCCUGAUGUUAGCGGCGGACGGGUGAGUAACACGUGGGUAACCUGCCUGUAAAACUGGGAUAACUCCGGGAAACCGGGGCUAAUACCGGAUGCUUGUUUGAACCGCAUGGUUCAAACAUAAAAGGUGGCUUCGGCUACCACUUACAGAUGGACCCGCGGCGCAUUAGCUAGUUGGUGAGGUAAUGGCUCACCAAGGCAACGAUGCGUAGCCGACCUGAGAGGGUGAUCGGCCACACUGGGACUGAAACACGGCCCAGACUCCUACGGGAGGCAGCAGUAGGGAAUCUUCCGCAAUGGACGAAAGUCUGACGGAGCAACGCCGCGUGAGUGAUGAAGGUUUUCGGAUCGUAAAGCUCUGUUGUUAGGGAAGAACAAGUACCGUUCGAAUAGGGCGGUACCUUGACGGUACCUAACCAGAAAGC